AUUUACUGAGCGCCUUUCGGUGCCAGGCUCCAGGCUGGGGAGUCAGAAGUAGGAUGGAUGGCGAGGCAGGGAGAAAGCCAGCUGAGUCCUGCCCUCCCACGGGUGGCCGUGGGGACAGAUGAGCAAAAGGCAGAAAACCAAGGUGACUCUGGAGAGACCACGGUUGAAGACAAGACCACAGUGGAGAGAAGAAACCUGAGAUUCCAAGAGAAACUGAUUUUGUGGCUCUGAAACCUGGCUCUUCCCUCUGCACCUGCUGACCAAGAUCUCAACUUCUGGAAGAGGACACAUUAAGGACUUCAGAUGUACCUCACGAUCUGAACAAUUAUAUUUUUAUUUCAAAAUAAUGUUAUCACAACCCAAAGAGUGAAAUUAACAAUAUAUAAUAAAUU
rnacentral:lncRNA from 1 species